ACCAGCCGGCUGAAUGGAGGCCUUCAAGGCUGGGCAGGACAGAGGGGCAGCCAACCGCAUGGGAGACCUUCACCACACGCCGAGGCUAGUGACGUGUCUGAUGUUGUGCUCUCCAGGACUUGCUUGUGGGUCACCUUUGCUGUCCGAGGAAGACGCAGGAGCAUCUUCUCCAGGACCGCAGCUCAACCGAGUCUUGCUUUUUUAAGGUCCAGCUUUCACAGCCAUCGAUGGCACACCCUCCCAUUCUCAGCUGGCCCAAUUAGAUGCACCUCACCUAAGAACCUGGAGAAAUUCAUUGCUGCAAGAUGUUAAUGACUUUAGUCAACUGGAUGGGACAAGGAGCUCUUUUCCUGCAAGAGAAAGAGAACAAAAACCACAGAGAUGGUUUCCCCUCCCCCGCCCCAACUGUUUCCUGUGCUUCCUCGGUACUCAACUGCUUUGAAACUCAUCAAAUUUCAUACGUCAACAUUUUUCCCAGUACUCGUUUGUUUGACACACAAGCUAGAACAUGUCAGUUCUGACUCACUACAUUAUUUCUUAUGGGAAAAACUUGUUUUGUACUCAUUGUUUUUGGUUCUCAUUGUGCCUUCCGGAACUAAUUAACAAAGAGUUAUCAAAGGUACCACUGUACUUAUCUUGGGUUUUUUGUUUUUUGUUUUUUUUUGCAAAGGAAGCAGACUUCAUGUUCAAACAACAGAGAAUCAUAUUUAAUUACAUAUGAGAUCCACAAAUGCCUAAGCACCAUGUUUUCUGGCCACUAAUAUGGCUGACACAGCAGUGGAAGGAAGUUUUGUGCUGUCUGCCUCAGUCUUCAUGUUUACCAGGAAGGAAAGGGAUUCUUGGCACAUCUCCUGACCUUUGUAAUCCUCCGAACCCCCUUACAGUCCCAAAGUCAUCCGUGAAACAAAGGAAGCCAAAGCAGAGAGCUUGCUGGCCUGGUGUAUUGGCCAUUCAGUCAGAUGUCCAUGUGUUAUAGUGAUGUCCAGGGCUAAAAUGGGGCGCUUUGUCCAAAGAUGCUCAUUAAAAGAUCUGAUCCUGAUCAAA